CGACGAUAACAAGAAGAAAACGUACAGAGCUUGUGGACACCAAAACCAACAGCAAAGUGGGGGGAGAGUCGAUGGGGGUCGUGAGGGAAAACGACGAGGAUGUUUCGCGCGCGUGCCACUCUCCGAGCCCUUCACGGGGCUGCACAUCCACGCACGCAAACGCUUAGGCAAACACCGUGUAGGUGGGCAGCGGUGGUUUCAGGACGGACUAACCUGGCAGCAAGGACGAAGUGAGUGACGGGGUUGGUGGUGGUGGUGGCACGUGAGCGGUGUCUUUUAGACAGACAGAUGGACACCGACAUCUCGGUUGAUGGCCACCCCGCCCUUCCUCUGUCAUCAGCGCCUGCCAUGGAAGCUGCUAUAAGUGCCGACGGUCUACUUUCCCUUGGUGUUCUGUGCCUGUCUCUGCGCCGGCCGCUUUACUCACACCUUGCGCCUUUUAUUCACCUUCCCGCCCCUCCUAUCCCUCCCCCUCCCCGCGUCAUGCCCAUUUUGCGGAUGCGCAG
rnacentral:misc_RNA from 1 species